rnacentral:lncRNA from 1 species
UGUGUCACUUCCGGCCUCCCUUUAGCUGCCAUCUUGCGUCCCCGCGUGUGUGCGCCUAAUCUCAGGUGGUCCACCCGAGACCCCUUGAGCACCAACCCUAGUCCCCCGCGCGGCCCCUUAUUCGCUCCGACAAGAUGAAAGAAACAAUCAUGAACCAGGAAAAACUCGCCAAACUGCAGGCACAAGUGCGCAUUGGUGGGAAAGUAAGUUUUAAUAGUUCGGGUUUGUGGGUUUUUUUUUUAAGGUUUAGGUAUUUUAAAAAACAUAUUCCUUUUGCGCUUCUUAUAUUAUCGGUGACAAACUUUGCCUAUCGAGGGAAAUUCACGGAGCUAGCAAAUCUCGAGGAGCGGGGGAGACGAGGGUUGGAGACACAUCAGUGAGACGAGCUAAAAACAUCGCCUUUGUGUAAACAUGUUUGUGUUUUCAGUGUUACAGAGUGUAAGUAGAACACAAAAGUGUUUCCUAAUUUAAUUAGUAAGGAAAAUGUGUCAUUUCAGUUAGAUCGUUGUGCACAUCAUACCCUUGACUUGUUUUGGCCUGAGUUUUCUAAAGUCAGUGCUUGUUUGUCUCUCUUGUAAAUUGAGACCUUUCUGUACUGCUUUCUGAACUAAAUAUUCUUUAGGGUAGUUGCAUAUUUCAAGGGUAUUUGAAG